rnacentral:rRNA from 1 species
AUACGUAGGGGGCAAGCGUUAUCCGGAUUUACUGGGUGUAAAGGGAGCGUAGACGGAAGGCCAAGUCUGAUGUGAAAGCCCGCGGCUCAACUGCGGGACUGCAUUGGAAACUGGGCAUCUGGAGUGCAGGAGGGGGAAGAGGAAUUCCUAGUGUAGCGGUGAAAUGCGUAGAUAUUAGGAGGAACACCGGUGGCGAAGGCGGCUUACUGGACUGUAACUGACGUUGAGGCUCGAAAGCGUGGGGAGCAAACAGGAUUAGAUCCCCUGGUAGUCCACGCCGUAAACGAUGAAUACUAGGUGUCGGGUUUCUAUAGAGAUUCGGUGCCGCAGCAAACGCAAUAAGUAUUCCACCUGGGGAGUACGUUCGUAAGAAUGAAACUCAAAUGAAUUGACGGGG